rnacentral:rRNA from 1 species
GUGCACGCUGGCGGCAGGCCUAACACAUGCAAGUCGCACGGCAGCACAAGAGAGCUUGCUCUCUGGGUGGCGAGUGGCGGCCGGGUGAGGAAUGCAUCGGAAUCUGCCCAUUUGUGGGGGAUAACCUCGGGAAACCGGGACUAAUACCGCAUACGACCUACGGGUGAAAGCAGGGGAUCUUCGGACCUUGCGCAGAUGGAUGAGCCGAUGCCGGAUUAGCUAGUUGGAGGGGUAAAGGCCCACCAAGGCGACGAUCCGUAGCUGGUCUGAGAGGAUGAUCAGCCACACUGGGACUGAGACACGGCCCAGACUCCUACGGGAGGCAGCAGUGGGGAAUAUUGGACAAUGGGCGCAAGCCUGAUCCAGCCAUGCCGCGUGUGUGAAGAAGGCCUUCGGGUUGUAAAGCACUUUUGUUGGGAAAGAAAAGCAGCCGGUUAAUACCCGGUUGUCAUGACGGUACCCAAAGAAUAAGCACCGGCUAACUUCGUG